GAUGAACGCUAGCGGCAGGCUUAACACAUGCAAGUCGAGGGGCAACACGGGUAGCAAUACCUGGUGGCGACCGGCGCAAGGGUGCGUAACGCGUGAGCAACAUGCCCUAUACAGGGGGAUAAUCCAGGGAAACUUGGUCUAAUAUCCCAUAGUAUUUAGAGGUGGCAUCACCACUAAAUUAAAGCUUCGGUGGUAUAGGAUUGGCUCGCGUGACAUUAGCUGGAUGGUGGGGUAACGGCUCACCAUGGCGAUGAUGUCUAGGGGUUCUGAGAGGAAGGCCCCCCACACUGGGACUGAGACACGGCCCAGACUCCUACGGGAGGCAGCAGUGAGGAAUAUUGGACAAUGGAUGGAAAUCUGAUCCAGCCAUGCCGCGUGCAGGAAGACAGCCCUAUGGGUUGUAAACUUCUUUACUACGCGAAUAGAGGUUAGUACGAGAUACUAAUAGGAAGGUAGUGUAGUAAAAGCACCGGCUAACUCCGUGCCAGC
rnacentral:rRNA from 1 species